AAGAUCGGUAGCCCAAUGUGACUAUCUUCUACCAAGUGGGAGAUCUGGGCCCUGCUGGGUACGGAGGAGGAGAAAGCAGCCGUGGUUGCAGAAUCUCACAGGGAAGAUACUCAUGUCCUUGAUGCCCUCUGAAGUCUCUCACCACAGAAGAUGAAGGCAGAAGAGAGAUCACAAGUAGGCAGAGAGGCAGGCAGAGAGAGAGGAGGAAGCAGGCUCCCUGCUGAGCAGAAAGCCCGAUGUGGGGCUUGAACCCAGGACCCGGGAUCAUGACCUGAGCCAAAGGCAGCGGCUUAACCCACUGAGCCACCCAGGCGCCCCGCAGAGGAGUAUUUUUGUGCAUCUUUUGAUUUAGCGUGGUGGAUGCUCAGAGGUGAGUGUGUGGGUGGGGAGUGCGGAAGGAGGGACUUGGUACUUGGCAGAGCCUGGGAAGUCCAAGGAGGUGUCCGGCAGGUGAGCAGGAUUGGCUGAGACUUGAAGGAGGAUCCCACUCAACCAGGAGGAAGAAAAGGGGUGGGCAUGGGGAGCAGAGGGGACAGUGCAGGCAAAGGCUUGGAGGCCUGCUGUGCUGGUGAAAGCGGAGCACAGAAGCACCUCAGCAUUGCUAGAGGCCGCGGGCCGGAGAGGACCUGGUAGGGUUGGCAUCACAGGGCCAGGGAGGCCAUGUCAUGGUCAGGGCUCUGGAGCUUUGUCAGCCGACUUGUCCUGGCCUGAAAGACCCUCCACAGAGAGAAGGGCCUUGAGGGAGGACAACGCAAGAGGUGGACCCCCCGCCCCAGCCCCCUGCUUCAAGAGUUACGAUGAAGCUACAGUGACAGAGACAGUAGAAGGGACAGAAGAAUGGACGUUUAUGAUCAUGGACAUGGUAAACAGUGCGCGAGAUCUGCCCCUCACCCCACGCACAACUGCAUUUUGAAAAGUGCAAAGGGAAUUCAAUGGGGGAAGAAUAAUCUUUAUAAACAAGAAAUGGUGCUGAAAAAUUUGGACACCCAUAAUGAAAAAAAAAAAAAGUCUUGGCUUCUAACUCAAAUAAUAUCAAAUACAAAAACAUAAGAGAAGGAAUGAAAAGAAAAAACCGUAAAAGUAUGAAAGAAGAAAACAUAGGAGAAGAGCUCUGUGACUUGAGUUAGGCCAAGUUUCUUAUUAAGAUACCAGAAGCGUGAUCCAUGGAAGAAAAAUGGACAAGGUGGACGGACCAAAAUUAAAAACUUCCGGUUUUCAAAAGACACCUAAGAAAAUGAAAAGAAAAACCACAGACUAGGGAAGAAAAUGUUUGUAGAAUCUGUAUCUGACCAAGAGGACUUAAAUUUAGACUAUAUUUAAAAAUUCCCUAAUGUCAGUAAUAAGAAAACAAACAAUUUGGUUUUUAAAAUGGGCAAAAUAUUUGAACACACACUUCAUCGCAGAAGAGAGACAGAUGGCAAAUAAACCCAUGAAAAGACGUUCAACAUCAUUAAUUACUAAAUUAAAAAUCAUAAUGAGGAUCCACUCUAUCUAAAAGUAGUUAAGAUU